ACGAAGGAUGCAAGCGUUAUCCGGAUUCAUUGGGUUUAAAGGGAGCGUAGGCGGCCUUGUAAGUCAGUGGUGAAAUCUUCCCGCUUAACGGGAAAACUGCCAUUGAUACUGCUUGGCUAGAGUACAGAUGCUGUGGGCGGAAUAUGACAUGUAGUGGUGAAAUACAUAGAGAUGUCAUAGAACACCGAUUGCGAAGGCAGCUAACGAAACUAUAACUGACACUGAGGCUCGAAAGUGUGGGGAUCAAACAGGA
rnacentral:rRNA from 1 species